CUUCCCGGCUAGUCUCUGGACCGAAGACCGGAAGUGCUUCUGCACCUUACAGCUUGGAAGCAAGAGUUGGCAUUCUAAGUUGUGGAAGACCUGCGCGAGACAGUAAAAAAGGCAGCCUGAAAUAUGAGGCAUUUACAACCGAACUCAGCCAUCACAGGAAGCCCAAACAGCCUGUGACAAUCAAAGCCCAACUGGGAAGGAACUAUGAUCCCCAGCCCUCUGCCCUGGCAGAACUCCCAUUUGAGAAGUAACCAUAUUAACUUGCCAGCCUUAAGUGAGCCACCUUGAAAACACAUCCUUCAUCCCUAGCCCCACGGUAUAUGGAGCUCCUCGACUAGGGAUCAGGAUUGAGCCACAGUCUCGACCAAAACCACAGCUUCAGCAACACUGGAUCUUUAACCCACUCUACUGGGCUGGAGAUUGAACCCAUGUCCCAGCACUCCCAAGAUGCUGCUGAUCCCAUUGUGCCACAGUGAGAGCUUCUGUCAUCAAAGGAAUGGUCUUGUUGUAGGUCCUCUUUCUGUUCAACUACAUUCCUGUACUACUAUUACACUAUCCUAACUAUAAUAGCUUAAUAGUUUUAUAUACAUCUUGAUAUAAUAGUAUAUCCAUUCCCCUUUUAUUGUAAGAGUGUCUGCAAUUC